rnacentral:lncRNA from 1 species
CCCUACUUAUAGCCCGCGCAGCGACCCGCGUGACCCCGCCGCGCCUCGCGCCGGCCCCGAAGCCCCGCCCCCGGCAUGACGCAGCCCUCCUCGGCCCGGCGUGCCCAGCCGGGUGAGCCCGACGGUGGCGCUCAUUGGCCCGGCCCGCUUCGGCGGCCACGCCCCCAGCGGGGAGCCGGUCCACGUGGGGCGGGACAGCCCCCUCCCUGCGGCCUCGCCCUGGAGUCUCGGCACCGUCUGGCCCCGCCGGCUGAUUACAGCCAGAGAUCGAGGGGGACCUCGCUGUCCCCCUAGAGGCCGUCAUGCGGGGUUACAGAGGCUGCGACCAAAGUCAUUCCUAGCUCCUCUCUCGGGGCUCCGGAAAGCCGUCCGCGCCUCCAGCCGCACUUUCAGCGCACGCAGGACCUGCCGCGCCCGGUGGCCACACCCGUCCCUCUGCCGGGUGACGCUGCGGGAGAUCUUGCGCCCUGGGGCUCCGGAUCCAGUUCUGGCACGUUGUUGCACCUGUGACUUGUCCUUGGCCUGGCACUGUCCCUCGCCUGGGGGAAGCGGGGGGGUGGGGGGGGGAUGCUCACGUGGUCGCUUUGCUCCCGCAGUCAUGCACUUGGGUGAAAACAGACUGAAGAGUCACGGGAACCAGCUUGUCUCCCCAGUUAUGGCGCAGAGCUGCAAGGAUGGCUGUGGGUCAUUAAUUUCUCCGUGGCUGACCUGUGUUUGUAACGCCGCAGCUGUUGCGAGGGGGAAGGACACUGCUUCGGAUUCAAAUUCUGACUCCUUGCUGCAGUGUGUCACCUUGAGCCAGUCCCAGAUCUCUGCGUUCUCACAAUUGUAAAAUGUUAACAGAGGCUGCCUACCUUGUGGCUGGAAUUAAAUGAAUUAACGUGUGUGAAUGUGACUAGAAUUCAGUACAUGUUCAGGAAAAGCUGAUUUCCGCUUUGCUGUUACCGUGAAUAUUACUGUUUUAGGGUGUAGAAAAGGGUGGAAGGGGAUGUUAUUGCAUCCUGGAAGCUUAUCCUUUUGAGGUAAAGAUUGAUUUCUGGUCCCCUGCGUGGUAUAUAGUGUAGUUUUGACAUUAUUUAGAUGUGUUAUGCACAUUUGGGUGUUGAUUAUAUGGCUUACGAUCAAGACUAACCAGUCAUGCCGUGGGAGAUUAAGGUCGUGGUCUCUUGUCAGGAUUGUAGUGAGAUUUAAAAAUUCCAGCCAGAAAUACCAGGCUUAGAAUGCUCUGAAGCCCUCCCCACAUUUUUGCCAUCUCUAGCAGGAGGGCACUGCAUAGCAGAAACAAAGACGUUGUAAAUUGUUGCUGCCUGAGUCAUUUAUAGAGGCUUAAACAACCUGAAUGUCCUCUGACCUACCUGUAACAUUUGAUGGAGUUGUAUGAGUAACUUACAAAGCUGUAGGUCCCAAGGUCGGUCUGAAAAAGAAAGUUCAUAUCCGGGAGCACUGACCCCGUAGUGUAAUCCUGGCACCUUAAAACGUACUGCUCCCUCCACCUUCACUUCAAGGUUAUGAAAACAUUGAGUAAAAGGGAUGAUCUGUUCAAAGUCCUUAGUGUUCUGCCAAUUUAAAACAGUAAUUUUCAAAGCAGUUAUUUGCAAGGAAAUUGCCUAGAACUUCUCCCAGUGUGCGGUUGUUUUGUGUGUUUGUGUGUGUGUUUUGUUUGUUUGUUUUCAGUCUGUCCACAGGCGUACUUUUAUAGGUCUGUGAUAGUAGGUAGCUCUUCAAGUUGGCAAACACCUGCUGGACAACCCCUGAGAGAUUCAUCUGAGUGAGAGAGCACUCUCCAGCCCCAUCGGAGUGGGUUUGCAGGGAAAUCAUAAGGAAGAAAUCCUUAUCUUUCCAACACUGAGAUGCUUCUGCCGAAGAGUAGAAUGGGAGUGAGGGGACACGCAAAACGGGCUGCUGCCGGAGGAAGAGGAACAGUGUUGUGGCUCAUGCCAUAUGAAUGGGCUCACUGGCCUGGCCCAGACCCUGACUGCCCACAGGAUCUUUGACAGAGAAACGGAGGCACAGAGAAGGAAGCGGCAGUUAAAGCUGCGAAGAACCUAACAAAUUUCAAGAUUGUAAGUGCCUUUUCCCAGGAUGCCAGCAAGUACUGAGCCUGUAUUUUGAGCUGCAUCAAACCCUGUUGGAAUAAAAAAGGACAUUUCUAGGAGAUCAGUCUUCGAGAUUGGCCCCAGUUUCCCCAGAGUAGGAAGAGGCAGGAAGCCAGAGCACAUGUUCUCUCCAGAAAUAAAGUUGUUGCAGUGGCCUAACCGUGUCUUAGAGUUACUGAAAACUCUGUUCUCUUGAGAUUUCUCAAGAAAGGAAACCUAUCUUGCAAGACAAAACCCACCUGUAGUCAAUUCCUACAGGAAAUAAAUUCAAAAUAAUGUUUCAGGCAAGGGC